CACCAACCAGCGCCAGGGAAUUACGAGCUAUGCUUAAAACCCAAAGGACUUGACGGUUUCCCACCCCCCUAGAGGAGCCUGUUCUAUAAUCGAUGAUCCCCGCUUUACCUAACCACCCCUCGCCAUCAGUCUGUAUACCUCCGUCGAAAGCUUACCAUAUGAAUGCUUCAGUAAGCCCAAUGAUCCCCAUCAACACGUCAGGUCAAGGUGCAGCUUAAGGAGUGGGAAGUGAUGGGCUACAAUUUCUAAACUAGAACAAACGAAAGACUAGGUGAAACCCUAGUCAUGAAGGCGGAUUUAGUAGUAAAAAGAAAAUAGAGUGUUCUUUUUAACAUGGCUCUGGGACGCGUACACACCGCCCGUC
rnacentral:rRNA from 1 species